GGAGGGGGCUAGCGUUGUUCGGAAUUACUGGGCGUAAAGCGCGCGUAGGCGGGCUGGUCAGUUGGGGGUGAAAUCCCGAGGCUCAACCUCGGAACUGCCCCCAAUACUACCAGUCUUGAGUUCGAGAGAGGUGAGUGGAAUUCCUAGUGUAGAGGUGAAAUUCGUAGAUAUUAGGAAGAACACCAGUGGCGAAGGCGGCUCACUGGCUCGAUACUGACGCUGAGGCGCGAAAGCGUGGGGAGCAAACAGGAUUAGAUACCCUGGUAGUCCACGCCGUAAACGAUGGGUGCUAGUUGUCGGGCGGCAUGCCGUUGGUGACGCAGCUAACGCGUUAAGCACCCCCGCCUGGGGGACUACGGUCGCAAGACUAA
rnacentral:rRNA from 1 species